UUCACUCCUUGUACCCAUACAGCUUUGUAAUUCCUCUUAAGGGUAGUGAAGUGCACUUCCCCAUUCCUUGCCUUUGAGGUCAACCAGGAGAUAACCUUCAGCCAAUGAGAUGUUAAUAGUGACUUGAAAUAUGCGGAAUUGAUGAGCUUACCCUCUUGUACCUCUGACAUCUCUGUCCGAAGGGCUUCUGGAGCAGUGGCUGACUUUUCCCCUGGACCCCGGGGUAGCCAAGAGACCAGCACACCAGACUCACGGCUUGAGGCAGGGUCACAGCCGCAAUCAGCCUUGACCGAACAACCCAGACAACUCGGCCAACGCAGCACAGACUACUUGUCUUCAUACUGCUGACACUAAAUCCAACCGGCGAGCGGAGAUCUGGAAUCCUGUGCAUUCCCUACGACCAAUCUGUAUCCUUGCUUUGCUGAAAAAGAGACAUGGACGAUGGACUAUCGCUGGGGAAUUCAGACUUCCAGUCUAAGGGAGACAUUAUCACUUUCAACCUUACCAACACACCACAAGGACCCUCAAAAAGGAAUAAAGAGAGACUUUGUAUCUGUAAA